GGAAUGCCACUUAUGCCAACUUGUCUUCCCUUUUUCCUCAUUUUAAGGAAUUUAUUUCCUAGAAAAUAUUUUCAAACAUUUUGACCGACCAGACCUGAGAAAUUGAAAAAUGUUUUCCUCCAAUACCAAACACACUCAAAAGAGGCUCCUUGUUGUUGGGUAGUUAGUUUAGGAUCAUGAAUCUUCCCAUUCUUAACGCGUAUCAGGAUUCAUAGGCUAUUUCUUUUCUCUUUUGAUGUGUGUUGUGAUGGCUUGUGUGUAAUGUUAUAUAUAU
rnacentral:misc_RNA from 1 species